GCCUAACACAUGCAAGUCGAACGAAGUAGCAAUACUUAGUGGCAGACGGGUGAGUAACAUGUAGGUAUCUGCCCUUUGGCCUGGAAUAACACGAGGAAACUUGUGCUAAUACCGGAUAAGUCUUUACGGAGAAAGCUUUAUGCACCAUUGGAUGAGCCUGCACUUGAUUAGUUUGUUGGUGGGGUAAUGGCCUACCAAGACUGUGAUCAAUAGCUGAUUUGAGAGGAUGAUCAGCCACAUUGGGACUGAGACACGGCCCAAACUCCUACGGGAGGCAGCAGUGGGGAAUCUUGCACAAUGGAGGAAACUCUGAUGCAGCGAUGCCGCGUGAGUGAAGAAGGCCCUUGGGUUGUAAAGCUCUUUCGUCGGGGAAGAAAAUGACUGUACCCGAAUAAGAAGGUCCGG
rnacentral:rRNA from 1 species